rnacentral:tRNA from 1 species
GGGCGAUUAGCUCAGUUGGUUAGAGUACUUGCUUGACAUGCAAGGGGUCACUGGUUCAAAUCCAGUAUCGCCCACCA